rnacentral:tRNA from 1 species
AAGGGAGACCUAAUUCCGGUAGGAGACGAAAAAAAAGUAGUCCCAACCAAGAAUCAAUCCCAAAAGGUCGGAGCGAGGCGAAAUUGGCUUUCAAACUAGGUUCUGGGUUCACACAAGACCUGAAUCAGGAACAAGGGCUAUUAGCUCAGGUGGUUAGAGCGCACCCCUGAUAAGGGUGAGGUCCCUGGUUCGAGUCCAGGAUGGCCCACCUGUACAGGUGGAAGAAAGAAAGGAAGCUCCGAAUCAGCACCUUAUCUUACUUAUAUAGUAAGAGAGAAUGCUGGCUCUGGGUUCAGAGUCCAGAGGAACCUUGAAAACUGCAUAGAGCUAGGUGAAAAAGCCAAAAAAGAAGACCGCCA